CGGGGUGAGUAACACGUGGAUAACCUGCCUUACACUGGGGGAUAACACUUAGAAAUAGGUGCUAAUACCGCAUAAGCGCACAGAGCCGCAUGGCUCAGUGUGAAAAACUCCGGUGGUGUAAGAUGGAUCCGCGUCUGAUUAGCUGGUUGGCGGGGGUAGAAGCCCACCAAGGCGACGAUCAGUAGCCGGCCUGAGAGGGUGAACGGCCACAUUGGGACUGAGACACGGCCCAAACUCCUACGGGAGGCAGCAG
rnacentral:rRNA from 1 species